rnacentral:rRNA from 1 species
AGAACGAACGCUGGCGGCAUGCCUAACACAUGCAAGUCGAACGCUCUUGGGGCUUCGGUUCCAAGGGAGUGGCGCACGGGUGAGUAGCGCGUGGGAACCUGCCCUGGAGUGGGGGAUAACCGAGGGAAAACUUCGGCUAAUACCGCAUACGCCGGGAAACCGGGAAAGAUUUAUCGCUCUAGGAGGGGCCCGCGUCGGAUUAGGUAGUUGGUGGGGUAACGGCUUACCAAGCCUGUGAUCCGUAGCUGGUCUGAGAGGAUGAUCAGCCACACUGGGACUGAGACACGGCCCAGACUCCUACGGGAGGCAGCAGUGGGGAAUAUUGGACAAUGGGCGCAAGCCUGAUCCAGCAAUGCCGCGUGAGUGAUGAAGGCCUUCGGGUUGUAAAGCUCUUUCGCACGCGAGGAUGAUGACGCUAGCGUGAGAAGAAGCCCCGGCUAACUUCGUGCCAGCCAGCCGC